rnacentral:misc_RNA from 1 species
AACUAACGCUAUUAUUGAUACAGUUUCUGUACUUCAUUGGUAUGGGAAGCUUCCAGGAAUAACCUGUGUAUAGGGUGCAAGCCCUUUACACUAGGAUAUCUUCUGGCAAAUUUUGGGAGGGGGGUCUUCGGACCCUC